rnacentral:rRNA from 1 species
AUUGAACGCUGGCGGCAGGCCUAACACAUGCAAGUCGAGCGGAUGAAGGGAGCUUGCUCCUGGAUUCAGCGGCGGACGGGUGAGUAAUGCCUAGGAAUCUGCCUGGUAGUGGGGGAUAACGUCCGGAAACGGGCGCUAAUACCGCAUACGUCCUGAGGGAGAAAGUGGGGGAUCUUCGGACCUCACGCUAUCAGAUGAGCCUAGGUCGGAUUAGCUAGUUGGUGGGGUAAAGGCCUACCAAGGCGACGAUCCGUAACUGGUCUGAGAGGAUGAUCAGUCACACUGGAACUGAGACACGGUCCAGACUCCUACGGGAGGCAGCAGUGGGGAAUUUUGGACAAUGGGCGAAAGCCUGAUCCAGCCAUGCCGCGUGUGUGAAGAAGGUCUUCGGAUUGUAAAGCACUUUAAGUUGGGAGGAAGGGCAGUAAGUUAAUACCUUGCUGUCUUGACGUUACCAACAGAAUAAGCACCGGCUAACUUCGUG